rnacentral:rRNA from 1 species
GAUGAACGCUGGCGGCGUGCCUAAUACAUGCAAGUCGAGCGAACAGAUGAGGAGCUUGCUCCUCUGACGUUAGCGGCGGACGGGUGAGUAACACGUGGAUAACCUACCUAUAAGACUGGGAUAACUUCGGGAAACCGGAGCUAAUACCGGAUAAUAUAUUGAACCGCAUGGUUCAAUAGUGAAAGACGGUUUUGCUGUCACUUAUAGAUGGAUCCGCGCCGCAUUAGCUAGUUGGUAAGGUAACGGCUUACCAAGGCAACGAUGCGUAGCCGACCUGGGAGGGUGGUCCGCCCAACCUGAAACGAGACACGGUCCCGACUCCUCAGGGGGGGCACCGGGGGGAAUAUUGCCGAAUGGGGCAAAGGCCGAACGGACCAAGCCCGGGGGGGUAAGAAAGUUUUCGGGUUCUAAAACCUUUUUUAUUGGGAAAAAACAAAUUUGUAUGAAACUUUGCUGUUUUGACGUUACCCUAAGCAAAAGGCCCGGGUAACCUCGUG